rnacentral:rRNA from 1 species
UACCAGCACCCCGAGUGGUCGGGACGAUUAUUGGGCCUAAAGCAUCCGUAGCCGGUUUUACAAGUCCUCCGUUAAAUCCAGCUGCUUAGCAGAUGGGCUGCGGAGGAUACUAUAAGACUAGGAGGCAGGAGAGGCAAGCGGUACUCAGUGGGUAGGGGUAAAAUCCGUUGAUCCAUUGAAGACCACCAGUGGCGAAGGCGGCUUGCCAGAAUGCGCUCGACGGUGAGGGAUGAAAGCUGGGGGAGCAAACCGG